rnacentral:rRNA from 1 species
GGAUCCAGACUUUGAUCAUGGCUCAGGAUGAACGCUAGCUACAGGCUUAACACAUGCAAGUCGAGGGGAAACGACAUCGAAAGCUUGCUUUUGAUGGGCGUCGACCGGCGCACGGGUGAGUAACGCGUAUCCAACCUGCCCACCACUUGGGGAUAACCUUGCGAAAGUAAGACUAAUACCCAAUGACGUCUCUAGAAGACAUCUGAAAGAGAUUAAAGAUUUAUCGGUGAUGGAUGGGGAUGCGUCUGAUUAGCUUGUUGGCGGGGUAACGGCCCACCAAGGCAACGAUCAGUAGGGGUUCUGAGAGGAAGGUCCCCCACAUUGGAACUGAGACACGGUCCAAACCCCUACGGGAGGCAGCAGUGAGGAAUAUUGGUCAAUGGACGAGAGUCUGAACCAGCCAAGUAGCGUGCAGGAUGACGGCCCUAUGGGUUGUAAACUGCUUUUAUAAGGGAAUAAAGUGAGUCUCGUGAGACUUUUUGCAUGUACCUUAUGAAUAAGGACCGGCUAAUUCCGUGCCAGCAGCCGCGGUAAUACGGAAGGUCCGGGCGUUAUCCGGAUUUAUUGGGUUUAAAGGGAGCGUAGGCCGGAGAUUAAGCGUGUUGUGAAAUGUAGACGCUCAACGUCUGCACUGCAGCGCGAACUGGUUUCCUUGAGUACGCACAAAGUGGGCGG